GCCCGCACCAGCUGUUCGAGCAUGUAGUUUAGUUCGAAGCUACGCGAAGAGCCUUACCAGGUCUUGACAUCCUCUGAUAACUCUAGAGUUAGAGCGUUGCCCUUCGGAGGACAGAGUGACAGGUGGUGCAUGGUUGUCGUCAGCUCGUGUCAUGAGAUGUUGGGUUAAGUCCUGCUACGAGCGCAGCCGUUGAUCUUAGUUGCUAGCAUUCAGUUGGGCACUCUAAGGUGACUGCCGGUGACAAACCGGAGGAAGGUGUGAUGACGUCAAAUCAUCAUGCCCCUUAUGACCUGGGCUACACACGUGCUACAAUGGAUGGUACAAAGGGCUGCAAGACCGCGAGGUCAAGCCAAUCCCAUAAAACCAUUCUCAGUUCGGAUUGUAGGCUGCAACUCGCCUACAUGAAGCUGGAAUCGCUAGUAAUCGCGGAUCAGCAUGCCGCGGUGAAUACGUUCCCGGUCCUUUACACACCGCCCGUCACACCACGAGAGUUGUAUCACCGAAGUAGUAGAG
rnacentral:rRNA from 2 species